AUUGAACGCUGGCGGCAUGCCUUACACAUGCAAGUCGAACGGUAACAGGUUAAGCUGACGAGUGGCGAACGGGUGAGUAAUGUAUCGGAACGUGCCCAGUCGUGGGGGAUAACUGCUCGAAAGAGCAGCUAAUACCGCAUACGACCUGAGGGUGAAAGCGGGGGAUCGCAAGACCUCGCGCGAUUGGAGCGGCCGAUAUCAGAUUAGGUAGUUGGUGAGGUAAAGGCUCACCAAGCCGACGAUCUGUAGCUGGUCUGAGAGGACGACCAGCCACACUGGGACUGAGACACGGCCCAGACUCCUACGGGAGGCAGCAGUGGGGAAUUUUGGACAAUGGGCGCAAGCCUGAUCCAGCCAUGCCGCGUGCGGGAAGAAGCCCUUCGGGUUGUAAACCGCUUUUGUCAGGGAAGAAAAGGUUCUGGCUAAUACCUGGGACUCAUGACGGUACCUGAAGAAUAAGCACCGGCUAACUACGUG
rnacentral:rRNA from 1 species